rnacentral:tRNA from 1 species
GCUUGGGUGGCUCAGUUGGUUAGAGCGCAGGUCUCAUACCAUCGUAUGACCACGUUAUGUGGGUAAUCCUGAGGUCAUGAGUUCGAUCCUCAUCCCGAGCA